AGAGUUUGAUCCUGGCUUAGAAUCAACGCUGGCGGCGUGCCUAACACAUGCAAGUCGAGCGAGAAAAGGGGGGCAACUCCCUGAGUACAGCGGCGCACGGGUGAGUAACACGUGGGUAAUCUGCCCUGGAGUGGGGGAAUAACACCGGGAAACCGGUGCUAAUACCGCAUACGAUAGCGAGGUCUGCGGACUUUGUUAUGAAAGGAGCAAUUCGCUCUAGGAGGAGCCCGCGGCUGAUUAGCUAGUUGGUGAGGUAACGGCUCACCAAGGCUACGAUCAGUAUCCGGUCUGAGAGGACGGUCGGACACACUGGAACUGAGACACGGUCCAGACUCCUACGGGAGGCAGCAGUGGGGAAUUUUUGGCAAUUGGGGGCAACCCUGACCAAGCAACGCCGCGUGGGUGAUGAAGUCUCUUGGGACGUAAAACCCUUUCGACGGGGAAGAAACCGCAAGGUUGACGGUACCCGUAGAAGAAGCCCCGGCUAACUCCGUGCCAGCCGCGGC
rnacentral:rRNA from 1 species